CACGUAGGGGGCAAGCGUUGUCCGGAAUUAUUGGGCGUAAAGAGCUCGUAGGCGGCUCGGUAAGUCAGGUGUCAAAUCCUCAGGCUCAACCUGGGGCUCCACCUGAUACUGCUGUGGCUAGAGUCCGGUAGGGGAGCGUGGAAUUCCUGGUGUAGCGGUGAAAUGCGUAGAUAUCUGGAGGAACACCGGUGGCGAAGGCGGCGUCCUGGACCAACACUGACACUGAGGAGCGAAAGCCAGGGGAGCAAACGGG
rnacentral:rRNA from 1 species